GACGAACGCUGGCGGCGUGCUUAAUACAUGCAAGUCAACUGAACUUAAAGUAGCAAUAUUUUGAGGGAGGUGGCGCACGGGUGAGUAACACGUAGGUAAUCUGCCUUUAGGUCUGACAUAAUUCCGCGAAAGCGGGACUAAUAUCAGAUGAUGCAGCGGCUCGACAUCGAGACAGUUGUUAAACCUUCGGGCCUAAAGAUGAGCCUGCGUCUGAUUAGGUAGUGGCGGAGUAAAAGCCCACCAAGCCUGCGAUCAGUAGCUGGUCUGAGAGGAUGAUCAGCCACACUGGAACUGAGACACGGUCCAGACUCCUACGGGAGGCAGCAGUAAGG
rnacentral:rRNA from 1 species